AUAUAACUAAGCGGAGGAAAAGAAACUAACAAGGAUUCUCCUAGUAACGGCGAGUGAAGCGAGAAAAGCUCAAGCUUGAAAUCUCUGUUUUCCGAAACAGCGAAUUGUAGUCUAUAGAGGCGUUUGUCAGCAACCAUUUUGUAUUCAAGUUCCUUGGAAAAGGACAGCAUGGAGGGUGAGACUCCCGUUCAUAGUAUGAAAUGGCUUGUGUACGACACGUUUUCUCAGAGUCGAGUUGCUUGGGAAUGCAGCUCAAAGUAGGUGGUAAAUUCCAUCUAAAGCUAAAUAUAGGUGCGAGACCGAUAGCGAACAAGUACCGUGAGG
rnacentral:rRNA from 1 species